UAUUGUGAAAGAGCCUGGUGUGGAAA
rnacentral:piRNA from 1 species